GCUUGCUUCUCUUGAGAGCGGCGGACGGGUGAGUAAUGCCUAGGAAUCUGCCUGGUAGUGGGGGAUAACGUUCGGAAACGGACGCUAAUACCGCAUACGUCCUACGGGAGAAAGCAGGGGACCUUCGGGCCUUGCGCUAUCAGAUGAGCCUAGGUCGGAUUAGCUAGUUGGUGGGGUAAUGGCUCACCAAGGCGACGAUCCGUAACUGGUCUGAGAGGAUGAUCAGUCACACUGGAACUGAGACACGGUCCAGACUCCUACGGGAGGCAGCAGUGGGGAAUAUUGGACAAUGGGCGAAAGCCUGAUCCAGCCAUGCCGCGUGUGUGAAGAAGGUCUUCGGAUUGUAAAGCACUUUAAGUUGGGAGGAAGGGCAGUAAAUUAAUACUUUGCUGUUUUGACGUUACCGACAGAAUAAGCACCGGCUAACUCUGUGCC
rnacentral:rRNA from 1 species